CCACGGCCUCUCCCGGCCCGAGCGGACGCUGACAUUGGCCGUGUUUAGAAACAACGAGGAGCUGUUUACGGGGUACGGCAGUGGUUUGGACUACAGCACGGCGAGUAACGCGGGCAUCGCCUAUCUGAAUCGCGGCGACCGUAUCCAGCUGAGGAUAAUUGACGGCUCAAUCCACGAAUCCAGCCACCCUGUGCGCAGCUACGUUACUCUCAGUGGCUUCAGGGUGGGCGGCG